CAUCGGUGGUACCAAUGGAGUGUCAUGGAAUGACCUUUCGAAUUUCAUGGCCGCCCAUUAUGAGUUGGGAGAAUUGAAUAUUGAGAACGAUAGAGAAUGGAUUAAGAAUGCCGUCGAAGCGUUGAUUGCAGAUGACGUGCUUCAUAUGAAUCAGGAUGGCCGAAUUGACUUCAAGCCGUAUAAACCGCCGGCGAAGGAGUCUGAGUGAAUGGGGCGAGUGUAAUGUGCAGCGAAUUUAAAACGGAGAAGAUGGCACAGAAAGGUCAAGCCACUCCUAAAAGCUCAGGAACGGCAUCGGAGAUAAACAGAUCUACGGGCUAUAACCCAAAGUGUCCGGACUGUUUACGGAAUAAUAAAAAGGUCGAUAAGAAAUUCCCCUGCUAUGCAUGCAUUCACAAGUUGGGCGACCCACAUAUCGUUUCACUCGUGGGGAUUACGGAAGCUAAACGGGGGAACAUGGACGUUUUUCGAAACCUCAUCAGCGCGAGGAACUAUGGCAGCAUCCCAGUUGAGGAGCGGAUGCUACUCGAGGAUCGCUACCGGGAAGCGAUCCAGAAUAACGAAAGCGGCUGGGAUGAGACUCUGGAGCCAUUGAAAUGCCCACAGACGGACGCAUACCGGAAGAAGUUUGAGGAAGAACAAGAGAAGAUGCGGCGGCAACAGCUGGAGGACGAACUCCGGGCGAAGAUCAAUGCGGCGAAUCAAAAGGCGAGCGAACAGGCCGCACGAGAGACGCAGCCCAAUCCGUCGAGUUCGACUGUACCGACAGCCAGCCUCAAUGACGACGAAGCACAGCUGAUACGCCAGUCGCUCAUUAUUCAAAUCGACACGCUGACGAGCGAUCCGGCGGCCAUGCAACAAGACCUAUUUGAUGCGCUGUUACGGGAAAAGUUAAGACUGCAAAAGGGUUUUGCUCCGGCACCAUACAUAAAGAAAGCAGUCGAAGAACGUAUGGAGGAGCUGCGUAAAUCCCGCCAGACCGAGAGCAAUGUUUUACAGGCGCUCAGAGGCUUUCGACGAGACGAUGUGUUUACACGACCCCGUUCGCCUCUGCAGAGAGAAAGGUCACGCGGACAUUCACGGGAACAUGAGCGGACUUCUGAAAGACGAAGUGAAAGGUCACGUGAACAUUCCCGGGAAAGGACACGGGAUUACCGAAGCGAAAGGUCACGCGAGCGUUCUCGCGACAGAGACUACCGUGGCGGAAGAGGAUGGGUACGCCAUGGAAAUGAGAUAACGGAGACAAGCAUCCAACGAAAAAUCGACACGGCAAAGAUUCUAGCAGCGACUAGAGGACGUGAAGAGCAACGGCGUGCGGAGUCAUACCGUACAGAGCCUGAAAAGAAAGGUCAUCAGGUGCCGUUGGAAGUUGGAUUCCGUAAUCGCAAUGUUAGAAUGUCUACGCCGGAAAGGUCAUGGGAUAAAAGACGCGAACACACGCGAAAUCGAACGCCAGACCCACAGGAUAAACGCUGGCAGGAAAGAGCCAGGUAUUAUGCGGGUUUUGAAUCUGGCGCAAGUAAAAGGUCAUCCAGCGCAGAAAGGGAAGACUCACCCCCAAAGUAUCAAAGAAUGGAGUCAACCGUCCAUGUGGUGGACCCAAUUAUUAGCACCGCUCAAGAUGAUGACCCGAUGGAAGGACCCAGUUCAAUUGCAGAAGCGUCCCAAGCAAAUGUGACACACCGACGAAACGUUAUUCUGGACAGCGACCUUCAACCGCCUACACCGGCGAGUAAUGAACCGCCGCAGGCAGAAUCAGGAGAACGAAGCGCACAAGAAAGUCAGCGCGAACCGGAUGAACGUCGCGAAGUCGAUCGGCGAACGACUUCUCGAUUCAAUAACCGACACCCCGAAACAAUCGAUAUGGUAUACGAUAUGCGCGACACCGACGAACAAAAGAUAGAAAUCUGCCGAUACAUAGGGAUUGAAGACGAUUCGGCGGAUGCGAAUAAGAUCCAUACAAUUCUGAACCAGCUGCGUCAAUUUUUAUUCGACUCGGGCUAUGCGAAAGAAAUUAAAGAGGGAGUGGAACAAGGAAGUUUCCGUCAAUUAUACAUUCCCCGCGACUCAGCAAGGGAUUGUUACCUCCCUAUCCGACGAAACGGAUUACAUAGCCUGUUGGAUCUGAAUUUGUUGGACGUGCCACUGGAUACGACUGACCCAAUCGGGAUGACACAAUUCUGUUACAGAGAUUAUCCCGAACGACAAGAAUAUGUCGCUCAGUUUGUAUUACGACACGUGAAUCCAGCCUUCAAGUUGCUUGCAGCAAGAGCAUCGAUCGGGUUACAAGUGGAUCCUAAAGAUCAUGCCGCAAGAAGGAUGGGGCAAAAGGUUUUCGCUGCAAGAUUGGCACAUUAUAAGACCCAUAACCAAUUGGUGUCCAAUACCAUGAAGGACGACAUCCCACUACUCUUCCGACCUCACGUGGCGAGAUUGGGCGAACCCAUGGAACAUGUUGGAAUAGCCCAUACGGCAAGAAAGGCGUUGAAAAAGUGCAAGAUACGUAUGGAAAAGGGCAAUCUUACACAACGCCAUGCCUCCCAGGUAGAAGAGAGGGUUAAUAAGAUCAAAGACACCAUGGGAAGCGACUACGUCGACCCCUUCGACGGAGUUGAAAUGUAUAUCGACGAAUUCCUUGUGAAGAAAAGCGAUCGGCGCCCAGAACGCGCCCCUAACCAGCUUGGACGACGUGGUCUACGGAACCAGCAGCUCCGGGAAAAUCUCGCCGAUGUACAGCGUCGACUAGCGGAUGACCCCGACAAUCGAAGACUGCGACUGGAAGAAAAUGGCGCACGCCAUCGGGUAGAGGCGGUUAAACGCAGUCGCCAAGGGAAAGGUCGCGGUCAGCGAGAAGUUGAUCCGGAAAAGGUCAUGGCAGUUGAUUCCACGGAACCAGUUGACCGAACGUCUGACCGUAACCAACCAGAAAGCUCUAAGAAGCGCCCGCCAAGAGAUGGCGAGGACGAUUCAAAUGAAAUGGAAUAGUGUUGAUCGUCAGGAUCACACUAUUAAAAGGGCGUCUACGGCAAUUGUCGCAUUUAUAGCACAGAAUCAGAAAGGAUAAAGAAAUCAUGUGGAGCAUCGAUUGGGGUUGAAAUUGAUUCGGUCUAUAAAGCCGGCCCCAAAGGAGUUGCUACGGCAGUUAGCCGGUACUCCUCCGUAAGCGAUUCAGUGUUAUAAAUUGGCAAGAGAAACUACGGUAAUCAAGCCGGAUCUCUUGAAUACGAAAGGGGGCCACAAGCGGCGAAAAAGAGAAAGACAACAGGUGGAAAUUUUGAUGGGGUAAACUUGAUGCGGCAGUCAGCCGGCCUCAUUAGAGUUGCUACGGCAAACUGUGCCGGCAAUCUCUCUAAGCGAAUCAGUGUUAUAAGUCAACGAGAGAAAUAGCGGUAAUCAAGCCGGAUCUCUCGUACCGAAGUUGGGCCACAAGCGGCGAACAAGAGUCAAAGAUUUAAUGUGGAAGCAUCGUGGGGUAAAUUUAAUGCGGUAGUUAGCCGGCCCCAUCGGAGAUGUUACGGUAAACUCUGCCGGCACUCUGGCCGCUCGAGGCAUAUUGGAGUUGGAUGUGCGACGGAAAGGUCAACUUAAAAGUUUUACCAGGGAGGCAAGCGAAGAAAUGCUUGAAAGUCGGCAAAAAUCGGCUAAGUUCCUCCAUGACCUUUAAUCGAAGUUUGAAGUGAAGUUGGAUGACCUUUGGGAUUAUUACCGCCCAACAGAGUCAUCGUAUUGGAAUUUAAGCCGUAUGACCUUUUGGGACCAUUAACCCAAACCGAGUCGCACAUCACAACGGAUCAUCUCAACAAAGGUUGACCUUUACCAGGGAGGAAGCGAACUACGCUUGUCUAUACGACGUCCCUCCAUGACCUUUAAUGGAUCUCAUUUGAAAGUCGUACAAAUGAUACGCACCGUAUUCCAAAGAUUGAAGCAGUAUUCCUAAGUCGUACUUGAUACGCACCCGAUUCUCAAGCUGAUUGUGAUGAAAGUCGCAUUACACAUGCGCGGGAUUGCUCAACAGAGCGGAAUGGGCCAAAGUGCGGAAAACGGUGGACAGGACCUGUGACCUUUACGAGUCAGAAAUGGAGGAUCCUAGUCUACAUUUGAUUAAUACUUUUGUUGAUCUUAUAACUGUUGAUCUGUUUUUGUAUUAAAAUUGAUAUGGAAUAGUAUUUUGAUACAGAUCUCUUUAUUUUCACAUAGUGCAUUUGGAAUUGAUGUGAUAAAUGGAAUAAGAGAAUUUGAUGUUUUUGAGCACGCACAGACACCGGCAACCGUCUUUUCGUGGAUUCGGGAGUGUGUCCAGCCUCAACGGAGCUCGGCAUCCCCCCAGAGGCAUGUGAGACGAGGCUCACUAGCGUUCACGCCCGUGGCGCUAGGCGCUACGCCUUCGGAUUACGGUCUGUGACGUGUCUCGCUCUGAUUGGCUAGCUUGAGUUGUGUUAGUGGGCGCGGCUUAGCACGUGCUGCACAGUGUUACACACUGUUGAAUUGGUUCUACGAUUUACGAUCGAGCUGUGCCGAUCACUUGUUGAUUUUCUGGUCUCCAGACUUUUCAAUAU